rnacentral:rRNA from 1 species
UACGAAGGGAGCUAGCGUUGUUCGGAAUCACUGGGCGUAAAGCGCACGUAGGCGGAUUUGUCAGUCAGGGGUGAAAUCCCGGGGCUCAACCUCGGAACUGCCUUUGAUACAGCAAGUCUUGAGUUCGAGAGAGGUGGGUGGAAUUCCGUAGUGUAGAGGUGAAAUUCGUAGAUAUUAGGAAGACACCGGUGGCGAAGGCGGCCCACUGGCUCGAUACUGACGCUGAGGUGCGAAAGCGUGGGAGCAACAGG